rnacentral:hammerhead_ribozyme from 1 species
AUCCAGCUGAUGAGUCCCAAAUAGGGCGGAACGUGUGUUCUGUAU